ACUAGAGUCUAUGGUGGUUAUAUCCUUAACUGCUAUGUCAUUGUAUUUCUUGGUGGAAUGGGAAUAGGCUAAAUAUAAAAUAUGUAGAGGACUUGUCUUAUCACACAGGCAAGUAGUCCAUCUAAGUCCAAUCAGACUUCGGUAGCAUUUUCUGCCAUCUUUCGUGAGUUAUCUGUGAAAGAGACUACAAUUAAAUAAUUUGCAGGCCUAUGUAUCAACAAUUGGAAAUUCCCAUCGAUUUGAUGAUGUCAUUACACACAUGCUUUGAAGCAAGAGAGCGCUGCGAUGCAUCAUGACUUUGCCGUCUGAUAUCAAGAGGAGAGUAACGUAUUUACCUCGACUGUUUUAAAGAAAACUUGAGGAAUAUCUAAAGCCUGUGUCGUCAUAACAAGGAAAGUCUGUCUUCCACGCCAACCUUGGAUCGGGAGUUAAACUACUCUGCACAAAUUGAAGGCAGGCAAUAUUGUGACGCUGCGGUUGUCCAACCCAAGACCACGUCCAUUUCACUGGAGAAGCUAUGAUGACAGACGUCUUGAAUAUGUUUUUUAUUGGGACAGCGUUCACUGUCCUCGCCGCGCUGAUGGGAAUGGUGGAUUCAUUUGGUGGUCUCAUGUAUGUCCAAGACGUGGAUCCUGUAUUUACAGUUGGACAGCAGUACCCAUGACGUUGAAUGAGUGGAAAACGGAUUGGAUUUGCAAAAAGUCAUCAACGUAAGGGCACUCUGUCUCUUUUUGAACGUGAAUCCAAUGACAUGGUGAUAUUUUUUGUUGAAUUGUGCCAUUCAGAACUAGACGUGUAACUGACGUCUGUGCGCAAUGGGGUUUGAUUUAUACAGGUCACACGGGUUUGAUGAGUUUAACUUGUUUUUCACAUUUGAAGAACACCCUAGUUGAUGUUUAUAGUAUGCUAUUACUAAAGUACUAGGUCAUAUUGACAGCUAUUAUUUUGUAUUUCUAUCCACUAUAUACUAUACUAAUACUUACUUGGUAGGACAGCAGGUAGAGCAUUGGGGCUGUAACUGAAAGAUCGCAGGUUUGAAUCCCCGAGCUGACUAGGGAAAAAAUCUGUCUGUGCCCUUGAGCAAGUUACUUAAUUUAGCAAACGCUAAAUCGCUCUGGAUGGGAGCGUCUGCUAAAUGACAGAAAUGUACUAAUCUGUAUACAUGGUAUUUGCCUAUAUCGUGUAGGCUAUUUGUUGUAUAUUGAGAAGAUCACAUCAUGUGUAAAAGAAAAAGGGCUACAUUAUGCACUAAUUGACUCUUCAUCAUGCACUGUAAUAUUGUGUCAUAAAGAAAGUUGUAAAGAAUAAACACUUUUAUAGGCUAUUGUCAAUAAAAUGAAUAGACACUAUU